rnacentral:rRNA from 1 species
UACGUAGGGUGCGAGCGUUGUCCGGAAUUAUUGGGCGUAAAGAGCUCGUAGGCGGUCUGUCGCGUCUGCUGUGAAAACUCAGGGCUUAACCCUGAGCUUGCAGUGGGUACGGGCAGACUAGAGUGCGGUAGGGGAGACUGGAAUUCCUGGUGUAGCGGUGAAAUGCGCAGAUAUCAGGAGGAACACCGGUGGCGAAGGCGGGUCUCUGGGCCGUAACUGACGCUGAGGAGCGAAAGCGUGGGGAGCGAACAGG